AACGAACGCUGGCGGCGCGCCUAAUACAUGCAAGUCGAACGAGAAGGUGUAGCAAUACACUUGUACAGUGGCGAACGGGUGAGGAAUGCAUGGGCAACCUACCCUCGAGUGGGGAAUAACCAGCCGAAAGGUUGGCUAAUACCGCGUACGCUUCCGGGUCUCCGGAUCCGGAAGGAAAGUCACACCGUGGGUGUGACGCUCAAGGAUGGGCUCAUGUCCUAUCAGCCUGUUGGGAGUAACGGCUCACCAAGGCAACGACGGGUAGCUGGUCUGAGGGGACGAUCAGCCACACUGGCACUGCGACACGGGCCAGACUCCUACGGGAGGCAGCAGUAAGGAAUAUUGCGCAAUGGGCGAAAGCCUGACGCAGCGACGCCG
rnacentral:rRNA from 1 species